rnacentral:lncRNA from 1 species
GUCCAAAGACAUACAACUUGAACAGAACUGUCCUGAGGAGACCGUAGCACCGAGUCAGGUGUGGUGAGAGAAGAUAGUUAUACAUGAAGACUAGGCGCCGCCGGAACCAUCGACUACGCCAUCCAGUGAAUCCCAGGACGACUGAGGAAACGGAGAGUCCCGUUCGGAGGACUUAAAAACACCGAACGCCUUGCCAAGAGGUAAACUUGGUAGUUAUCUUUUUCCUUUCAAAUUAUUUAAAAUAGUUUGCUUAGUUAAUCAGGUUCAUAUCAUCUUGAAAAGAAAAUAAAAAUGUUAAAAAUAGUAAGCCCCAUGUGAGUAUGCUCAUGGCACAAAACCCAUAAGUACAUUCACUGUGGUGGCAUAAAGAUAAAAUAAAUAUUUUCCUAUCCUAUAAAAAUAAAAUUAUAAAAAUAAAUUUGUGAUCCUACUAAAGAGAGUAACAUUUAUUGAGGAGGCUCAACAUGAUAAAGGUUAGAUAUUUAUGCUAACACUUAACUAGUUCCACAAAGCUUUGUUGUCUAUUUGAGCUCCACAGAAUUCAAGGAUCAAAGAAGACUAGCAGACGGAGGACAUCCUAAUCACCGUCAGAGUGCUGCCGACAUUCAAAUACACCUCCACCACCUGCUAGCUACAUCAAAAGGUUAUGUCAAAAUUCAGCUUGGGGGAGAGCACCCCCAUUUAUCCAGCUAAGUGCUCUACUCACGUUUAUACUUUACUCAAAUAAUAAAAAGAUACAUAAUCAUAAAAACCUAAAUAAAGAUUUUGUGCUUAUAUAUAUCUUUGCUUAGUUUGCUAAAUAAAUAAAUAAAUAAAGUUUGCUAUGAACCCUCAUGAUAAGCUCUCACAUGGAAAUGAUGAAUAAUUGCUCUGCCAUGACUAGUUCUCAAAAUUGAAAUCUCUCUCAAGUUUAGGCAUGACUGUUAUUAAUUAAGAUUUGCUCUAAACCUGAACUUGUGGGGAGAGUACUUGAUCUAAAGUCUAAGUAGUUAAUGGAUACGAUAUGGGAAGGUUGAGCUGCUGUUUAUCUGUCCUAGAGAUGCUAGAAUUCUGGAGAAUUUCAUCUUUGAAAAUCUUUAAAAUAACACAUGAUGAGUUCCUGUAUGAUGAGAGUUUAAAUUCCUACCACAGCCAUAUAUACAUGCUUGUUAGAUUAUGAACCAUACAUUUACUUUUUGCUGCUUAUGAGCAUUGAGUGUGGUCAAGCUGUGUAGACCCUUAGGAGCUUGUCAUGUGGUUAAAUCAAGAUUCACUUGCACGUUCACUCACACAUGCUGCUUCUACUCAGGAAGUACCAUCCACAUAUAUCCAUUUCCAUCUCCAGAACCACCCAAAAAUAUUCUACUCCUAAUCCGGGAGAGAAUAGCCAAAAAUAUUUCUGUUUUUCCCCUGUGAAAUAAAUGCUCAAGUUAUCUUGUUACUAUCACUUGCUAUAUUAUCUCAUGAGAUGAGUGCUCUAAAAAAAGAGAGAAAAAAAAGAAAGAAUACGUGGAAAUAAAAAGGGGCAAGUGCCCGGAACCUCGAAGAAAAGAAAAAGUGAGACGAGAGGUAAAAAUGGACAAGUGUCCGACAGUAGAAUUAGGGGUACAAGAUACCCACCUGAGAGAAAAGAAAAAAAAAGAAGAAGAAAAUAUAGAGCAUCUCAUUCCCCUCAAAAAGAUUCAAAAGAGUAAGAAAGGUAUGUAUCCACUCAAAAGAGCACAAGUAGAAUUAGACGUUCACCAUUGUUAUCACCAUUCAUUCGCCACACAUGCACAUCUUGAUUUGACUUAUUGACUUGUUCUUCUGGAUUCAUGGUUUGACUAUGCAAUAAAUGUCUUGUAAGUAUGUAUUAGCUGUCUCCCACCUAUGAGCUCCAGAUAUCAAAACCUUAUUAGAGUAGGGUGAGAGAGAAGGAAAUGUCACUAUGCCUCAUACCAAAAAUACCACAUACUUUGAGAGAAGGCAUACACCUUUACUGCCUUGGUAAGGAUCUAGAAAUACCAUAAAAGAGAGACUAGAGAGAGUCAUACAAGGAAUCUCUGAGUUUUAUUUGAAAAUCUGCAAAAACUCCAGAGCUAUAGUUAAUCGAAGAACAAGAGACAUGGUGGUUGACUUGACCGUUCUAUCUUUUAACUGCUCAAGACACAAGUGACGGUUACAAGCCCCAUGGUGGAAGGUAAAAUGAGUAAGUUUAAAUCUUAACAGUUUACCCUAACCCAGAGAUGAGAUCUUGUUUGAACGCAUGUGUAUCUUUAAGGCAUAAAACCACUACAGAAACUCUUGAGUCCAUCUUUGCUCAGGGACGAGCAAAGGUUAAGCUUGGGGGAGCUUGUUAACGGUCCUUAAUGCUCACAUUUAACCAUCAACUAAUCAUGGAAAAUGAUCCAAAUGCAACCAACACCCAGACUUAGGGUUUUAUCUGACAUAAUUCCACGAGUUUUGGUGUUUGUCUAUUUCUGCAGGGGGUUAUCAGGAAAUAUGAAAGAAAGGCCCACACGUCGGGUUUACAUAGAGAUAUUAACGUGCUGCGUAAUUUUCUACCAUCUAGAAGACUCCAGAAGCCACGGAAACGAACGGGAGGCCGAUCGGGCCCGGGGGCAGGGCGCCCACCCAAGUCACUUGGGUGCCCGCCCAGCUACAGUAACCAAUCAGCUUCAACUUCGCGGAUCGUGCUCCACCGACCUAAGGGAUCAAGGAAAACCAUGCGAUUAAUGUCGGUUUGAUCCAACGGCCUAGAUUCAUCUGAAAAGACUAUAUAAGCAAGGCCCCCUGGCCCCUGGAGAUCAUACCUCUUCUACAGAAUCAAAGUUAGGGUUUCAAUUCUUCAUCCAAGUAGAGAGGAUCCCUCUAGUUCUUCUAGUUCUACCUCUAGUUCAUCUAGAUCUAGUUCUAGUUUAUCUAGUUCUAGUUCUAGUUCCUCUAGUUCUAGUUCUAGUUAGUUCUAGUUGUAAUCAAGAAAAUAGGGAGAGAGAAGAGGAGAGCGGAGGAGGAGCCGGAUCUGUCGGAUCUUCCUCAACAUUGUACUUUUGCAGCAACUGGUUCGUUCUUCAUCGUUCUCUAGGUUCUUCAAUUCAUAAUUCCUGAGUUCUUUAAUUACUUUUAUUUACAUUCAAGUUAUUUAUUGGAUUCCCGCUUGCAUCAAGUGCUCUAGUCUUUAUAACGCUAGAGUAGUAAUUAAUAGAUUAGACGUGGUGUUUAAUCUUGCAAUUACCUGGAAUUGCACCCAAUCCUACGGAUUGUUGUGGUAGCCCUAGGGUAGUGACAGCCCUAACGGUCGACGUAUUCCACCUCGUUCGGAUCGAUGUUUGUAGGACCGUAGUCAGAGCUUCCUAGCACCCUUCUCAUCUCUUUCUGUGGUUAGUGUUUUGAUGUCCCGAAAUAGAUAAUCUUGAAGUAAUUCUUGAUUCUUAGAUCAACUAGAGAACUCUUAGGAAACUUCCUCUCUUCCCACCAAAAAUAAUUAUAUAGUUAUCCUUCGGCGAUCUUGGAUCUUAAUUAGUACACUCACGUUCUCUGUGAAAAAUCGAUACUCUGGAAUACUCCCGGGUGAAAGCUACAUCGGUAUCCGUGCGCUUGCGGAUUUUUCUGUUUGCGUUUAAAAUACCCAACAGUGUUUCUCCUUGAUUAUCUUUGUCUUCUAUGGUGAAGAGCUAUUCUUCUUUGUUUGUCAGUUAUACACCAGCUGUCUUGAUGGUCAAGGAAGGAACCUCAUUGGUACUUGUGUAAGAACUUCAUCUCCAAUGACUUAGGGAUGUCAUCUUGCAACCGUUGUUAUUCAUGGUCUCACGAGACAUAGUCAGUAAUCCACCAUUGAUUUAUGUUUGCUGACACAAGGAUGGAUGCCAUGAUGUACCGACAUCUUCUCAUAUGUAUCCUUAUUGUCGAUGUGCAAGAUGAUGUCUUCGAAGAUGAUGAAACCAGGUAUCAAAUUGGCUAAUAUGAAGUAUGUUGCACCUUGCUUCUCAUCAACACCCUAGCUUGGCAAAGCUCAAUGCUUGGUUGUCUUUGGUGUUGCUUAUGGCCUAUUCAAUUGAUCAUCCACUCCCUAUGAGUGAGUGCUUUCACUGUAGAUCCUUUUGAUGGCACUUGUCUCCUUCUUUAUUUCAUCAAUGAAGUGGUGGUUUGGUUUGGGUUCGCAGGUUCUAUGAAACCAAGAAUAGGUAUACCCUAUGUUCAUCCUUUCCUGCAAAAUGUUAAUGGACACAUACCCGAGGGAAUAUCACAAUUUAAAAUACAGGUUGUUGUCCAUAAUUUGUGUGAUCUCAUCUAUGCUAAUAAAAAGAUGGUUUUGGAAUUACUUUAGCAUAGACUUUAUCAUGCUAAAUAACAAGCUUUAAUGGUUGUUGCUCUGACACCGUUUUUGGACACAUAUCUGGGAAGUUAAUGAAACAUGGAUCGGCAGGCGAAAAAGUAAUGACUAGUUGACAGAGGAGUUACCGAUAGGUUACGUUGCCGAUGAUAAAGCAACAGAAUGUGACCAAGUCCAGGAAUGAUGAUUGAUCUAUGCCGAUGGCCGAUAUUGAUGGUUACCGAUGCCGAUGGAGGGUGAUUUGCCGAUGAUAGCAGACGAAGGCGUAGGAAUUGUCGAGAAGAUGAUGACGGUGCGCUGAUCGCCUGGCGUAGAUAAAUUAAUGUUUUCCAUAAUUAUUAGAGUUUGUUUUGUAUACGGAUUCUGUUUGGUUUAGAAUUAGAAUCCUAGUCGUGUCUGAUUGUAACUCUUUUAGACAGGGUAUAAAUGUAGACCCAGUAGCAAUGUAAGGGACAAUCCAAUCAAUCAAACACAAGUUUUUACAUCUAUUCCAGCAUCUACUUUUCGACGACUUUGUCAACUCGCAUAUUUUCUUUUUACUUACGAGUUCUUAGGAAUUCAUUGAGUCAAACUCAACGGGUUCUCAAGUUUCGUGUGAAUACCUCUUGGCUGUGACAUCCGGGUGCAUCGCUGUUGUUAGGACCAAAGUAUUCGAGUUAUCACCUUUGUCGGUUGUAAGGUCAAAUCGGCUGACAUGCCUUAACAUUGAAUCGGGUAUUAGCCCUUUGUGUUUGCAGAUCUACUUUUGUAUCAACACAUCUUCUGGCACUCCCAGUGGGACAGAUCUAUCAUCAAGAUCAACAUGUCUAACACUAAUUUCAACACGGAAAACAUCAUUGCUGUAACCGAGGCUGAUCUCAGAGAUGAACAAAAGCAGGCUAUGGCAAGAGCUAUAGAAGAAUACAAGCAGCUCUGCUUGAAAUCCUUCAGUGUCAACAGGAGCGGUGAAGUAAUCUAGAAGCAAGACCUGCCGAUGCCCCAGCAGAUCACUUUUGAAGCCAAUCCUGGUAAAUUGCAAGAUAUGGUUGAUAAUGCUAUUAAUCGUGCUUUAAUCAACCAUUCUAGUGUGCUGUCCAAUACUGUUUUCAAUGCUGUGGCUAGAACUUUCAAAGAAGGACAAGCACCAUCAUUAUACAUGGCCCCGGCCUAUCAUCAGCCAGGGUCAUCGUCGGUUACGACUCCAUCUGCUCCUCCAGCCAUUGCGGGUACAGAAGCUACUUCUCCGCCAAGCACAUUAGGGAUGACUAAUGGGAAAUCUACACCGAUGAGGACUAAUCUAGAAACAUCAGAAGGACGGGUUCAACUUAACACAGAUCUAUCGGCAUCGGCAAUGUCAGGAUCUGCAUUUCAGAAUUGCCAAGUUCCUCCCAAUUGGUGGGGAUAUGGUAUGCCUCCAGACUUUUUUGCGAAUAGUUCUGGAACAUCUCAAGUGGCAGACGUGACAGGCAAGGCUCCUAUGACAUCGGCACCUCCAGUAUCACCGAUGACUCAGAAUCCUCAAUAUUCUACAACCACUACCGCAAGGCCUGUUACUGGAAACUUUCAGAUGCCAACAUUCCAGACACCAAAUGCAUUGGUGGAUCCACUGCUGACGCACCAGAGGUUUAUGACUCAAACAGGGUAUGUCAAUCCAAUGAUAACACCCAACUAUCAACCAUCGGCAGGGCCUACGCCGAUGAAUGCCAACACUGGAUGGACAGGACAGUUUGUCUUUCCACAAAUGACACAGUAGAAUCAUCAGGCUGUAGGAUUCCAGCAUGGACAGAUGCAAGUUGGUUUUCAAAAUCAAGGACUAACGAAUCAGCCGAUGAAUUUCGCUCAGCAGAUGGGUGGCCAAUAGGCUGUGGCUAAUGUCAUGUUCCCUGGAGAUCAUGCACCCCAAAGGCACAUAGAAGCUUAUUAGUAGGCACCAGAACCUCAACCUGUACAUCGGUAGGAUGCCGAUGCCUAUUGGGCCGAUAAGAUAGCAGAAGUUAUGAGAGAUCGGUUUGGGAUAAAACCCAAGGUCAAUACUUAUUCUUAUCAGACACCGUACCCUCCUGCAUAUGACUUGAUCCCGCUUCCAAAUCGGUACAAGGUACCAGAUUUCACUAAAUUCUCUGGACAAGACGACACGUCAACUAUGGAACAUGUCAAUCGGUUCAUCAUCCAGUGUGUAGAGGCUGCUAAUAGAGAUGAGUUAAGAGUCCACUUAUUCUCGUCAUCUUUGUCUAGAUUGGCCUUUACUUGGUUCAUUUCAUUGCCUCCAAACUCAGUAAUUACUUGGGCCGAUCUAGAGAAGCAGUUCCAUAAGUACUUCUUUUCUAGGGUUCAUGAGAAGAAGAUUACCAAUUUAGUCAGGUUGAGGCAACACAAUGAUGAAUCGGUUGAAAGUUUUGUACAAAGGUUGCAGGAUGUUAAGAACAAAUGCUAUAGUCUGAUUCUAGAUGAUCGGCAGUUAGCCGAUUUAGCCUUCCAGGGAUUGCUGCCACACAUCAAGGAUAAGUGUGCUUCUCAAGAGUUUGAAAGUCUAAGUCAUUUGGUGCAGAGGAUCUCUAAUCAAAAUAUCAAGACUUUUCAACCUAGAAAGGCUUGGAACAAGAAAGUGUCAUUUGUUGAUGAGGCAACAAGCUCAGAUUCUGAUGAAGAACCAGUCAUCGGCUUGGCAGAAUGGGUAAAAAACAAAAAGCCGAUGUCAUGUCCUUUCGGCCAUAAAGAGCCAGAAAAAUUUGCUUUUGACAUCACAAAAGCCGAUAGGAUAUUUGACUUUCUGCUUCAGGAGGGGCAAAUUAAGUUGUCACCAAAUCAUGUGAUCCCAUUGGCAGAAGAUUUGAAGAAGAUCAAGUACUGUAAGUGGCACAAUGCAACAUCUCAUGGUACGAAUGAGUGCAAGGUGUUCAGGCAACAACUGCAAUUGGCUAUAGAAUCUGGGAGAAUUAAAUUUGAUAAUUCCAAAGCUCAGAAGCCGAUGAAGAUUGAUCAGCAUCCUUUCCCCACAAACAUGCUGGAUGCCAAGGAAAAACCAAAGUUUUGACAUCAGAAGCAGCUGAGAAGAGCGCAUUGGUAGAUCCCCAGCAUUAGAUCACUAUCGAUGACGCCAAGGGCAAGGGCUUGAUCCAAGAAGGCACCAGUUCUAGAAGACCUCCUCGAUCCGGCCUUGUGAUCACUCAUAGGCGACAUCGGGAGACAUGGCAGCAACGAGAGGAUCGGUAUCGCCGCCAGCAAGAGGAUCGUCGCCGAGAAUAAGAAAGACGCCGACAAGAGUGGAAUCGGCAUAAAGAUCAUUGGAAUUGCCCGUUCUUCAUCCACUGUUGGGAGCAAACAUCAAGUUACCAACUGUUAGAGAUUGCCCUGAGUGCAAUGGUUAUAAUCGGCAUGAUAGACCAAAUCGGCGAUAUGAAGACGAUGAUCGGCGUUUUAAUGGGCCAAUUGGGGGAAGAAUGUCAGUUCAUAAUCGGCUGGGGGGCAGGCUCAGUGUGUAUAACAGGCUUGGUGAACGUGUUGGCUAUUUUCCAAGAAACCAAGAGGAGCUUGAGGAGAUGACAAAUGCACGAGUUCCCGAUGAGUUUAUAUUUUGCAGGGAUGCUAACACUUAUCGGAUGGAAUCAAGGGAGGCUUGCUAUCAACCAGUGUGGAGGACACAGCUUCCCCAAUGGUGUCCAGAUGGAUUGACAAGAACACAGAAAAGGAGGAUGCAGCGAGAACGGCAAGAAGAAUUGAAUAGGGAAGAAAAUUCUUCUAAGUGUGAGAAUCGGUAGCAAUCGGAUCACAAAGGAAAAUGACCAUUGGCAGAUGUUAACAUGGUAUUUAUGAUGCUGAUGGAGUUUCUUGCACCCUUUAGUGAUGAUGAAGAAGUAAAUCUCCCUAGCUAGAUAGCUCAAUUAGCGCUCGACCCAAUGACAGCCAUGUUUGAGAAGCCUUCUGAUGAUGAAAGAUAGCAUCUUAAAGCCUUGUUUGUUAAGGGCAGGGUUGAUGGACAACCGAUGACCAAGAUACUCAUUGAUGGUGGAGCUGCUAUCAACAUUAUGCCAUACGCAGUCUAUCGGAAGUUUGGCAAAGGGGAUCAGGAUUUAGCCAAGACCGAUAUGAUGUUAAAAGAUUUUGAAGGUAAUGUGUCUCCAGUCAAGGGGGCCAUAUGUGUUGAGUUGACCAUCGGCAGCAAGACUUUGCCAACAACCUUCUUUGUCAUCAGUGGAAAAGGUGCAUACAAUUUGCUAUUGGGGAGAGACUGGAUUCAUGCCAAUUGUUGCAUUCCUUCUACAAUGCACCACUGUCUGGUUCAAUGGGUAGGUGACAAAAUUGAUAUUGUUCCAAGAGAUUCUUCAUAUGUCAUUGCAUCGGUAGAAUCAGAUACUUAUGAGAGGACCAGAUGCAUUUCAGGGGAAGUUUGGGAAAAGGAUUUUCUCAAGGUUGCUGAUUAUGAAAUUCCAUCGAUCCAAGCAGUCGGUUCUGAUAAAGGGUUUUAAUGGUUAGGUUCCCUGAUGAUGGAAAGUUAGGUCAGGGGUUUACAUCGGCUGAUGAUCUAGUAGAAGUAGAUAUAGGUAAUGGUGAUAGGCCAAGGUCUACUUUUAUUAGUGCUAAGUUAGAUUCUGAGUGUAAGCAACAGUUGAUCGAUUUGUUAAAGGAAUAUAAAGAUUGCUUUGCUUGGGAUUAUACCGAGAUGUCUGGUUUAGACCGAUCGAUUUUUGAACAUUUUUGAACAUUGGUUGCCUAUCAAGUCUGGGUUUUGGCCGCAUCAGCAGCCAGCAUUCCGAUGCAAUCCUAACAUUCUUUCUGAUAUUAAGGCUGAAAUAACCAAACUUAUUGAAGCUAAAUUUAUCCGGCAAUGUCGGUACGCCGAAUGGAAUUCUAAUGUUGUUCCUGUCUAUAAGAAGAAUGGGAAACUUUAUGUCUGCAUUGACUUUAGGAAUCUCAAUAAGGCUACGCCGAUGGAUAGUUAUCCAAUGCCAGUUGCCGAUCUGCUAGUUGAUGCUGCGGCUGGACAUCGGGUUAUUAGCUUCAUGGAUGGCAAUGCGGGUUACAAUCAAAUAUUCAUGGCUGAAGAAGAUAUUCCAAAGACGGCAUUUAGGUGUCCUGGUCACGUUGGAUUAUUUGAAUGGAUAGUCAAGACCUUUGGUUUGAAAAAUGCUAGUGCUACUUAUCAGAGGGCUAUGAAUUUCAUCUUUCACAAGUUCAUCGGCAAGAUUGUGGAAAUCUAUAUUGAUGAUGUGGUGGUUAAGUCUAGAGAUUUCACAAAACAUCUAGCCGAUUUGUGAAAGGUGUUAGAAUGCACAAGGAAGCAUGGUUUAAAGAUGAAUCCUAAUAAAUGUGCAUUUGGUGUAUUGGCAUGAUAAUUUCUUGGUUUCAUGGUGCAUCAAAGGGGGAUUGAAAUUAGUAGAAGAUCCAUUGAUGCCAUCAACAAGAUAGUUGCUCCCACCAAUAAAAUUGAACUUCAAUCAUUGAUCGGUAAGAUUAAUUUUAUCAGACGGUUUAUAUCCAAUUUGUCUGGUAAAAUUCGUGCUUUUAGCCCUUUACUUAAGUUGAAAGCCGAUCAAGAGUUUGUGUGGGGGAAGAGCAACAGUUAGCCUUGGAUGAAAUCAAGAAUUAUUUGAUAAACCCUCCUAUUUUGGUUCCACCACAGCAAGGAAAACCCUUCAGAUUAUAUUUGUCUACCGAUGGUGUGGUCAUUGGUUCGGCUCUCAUUCAGGAAUUUGAAGGGAGGGAGCAUGUGAUUUAUUAUCUAAGCAGAAGGUUGGUGGAUGCUGAAACAAGGUAUUCGGCAAUUGAGAAGUUGUGCUUAUGCUUAUACUUUUCUUGCGUUAAAUUGAGUCGCUACUUGCUGUCGGCCGAAGGCACUAUUAUAUGCAAAGAUGAUGUGGUCCGAUAUAUGUUAUCAAUGCUGAUUAUGAGUGGUAGGAUCGACAAGUGGAUAUUGGCAUUGUUGGAAUUUGAUCUACGCUACGAGUCAGCUAAGGCAGUUAAAGGGCAGAUUAUGGUUGAUUUUGUAACUCAGCAUUGCGGUGUAGUGGAUGCUUUGGAAAUCGUUCCUUGGACGCUCUUCUUUGAUGGAUCUACAUGUGACAGGGGGGCAGGAAUCGGCAUAGUAUUAAUUUCUCCUCAAGGAAAGAAGUAUGUGUUUUCUUUGCUGAUUGUUGCCACGUCAACAAAUAAUCAAGCUGAGUACCAAGCUUUAAUCAAAGGGUUGGAAUUAUUAAAGAAGGUUCAUGCCGAUGUUGUUGAAAUUUUUGGUGAUUCCAUGCUUGUUAUAAAUCAGCUGCUUGGAAUUCAUGAAUGUCGGAGUGAGGUUUUGAUAGCUUAUUAUGAAAGAUGCGUACAACUAUUAAGGGAAUUCAAGGAUUUCUGAUUAGAGCAUAUUCCUCGGUUGCAUAAUGAAGAAGCCAACCGAUUGGCUCAACAUGCCUUGGGGUAUCAACCUAUCUUAGAUAUAUUAUUGGCAGUCAGUGCUGAUGAUUGGAGAAAGGAGAUUAUUGACUAUUUAAAAGAUCCAUCUAAAAAAGUUGAGAGGCGUAUUAGGUUUCAAGCUACAAAUUAUGUACUCCUUGAAGAAGAGUUAUAUUAUCGAACGAUAGAUGGAGUUUUGCUGAAAUGUUUGGGUAAUGAUGAAUCUAGAAGUUUGAUGGGUGAAAUUCACGAAGGAGUGUGUGGAGCACAUCAAUCAGCUUUCAAGAUGAAUUGGAUGAUUAGGAGAAACGGAUAUUAUUGACCGACUAUACUUGAAGAUUGCUUUAAAUACUUUAAAGGAUGUCAAGGAUGUCAGAAGUUUGGCAAUAUUCAAAGGGCACCCGCAUCAGCCAUGAAUCCCAUUGUUAAACCUUGGCCAUUUCGGGGUUGGGCUAUUGAUCGCAUCGGACAAAAAUAUCCACCAUCAAGCAAAGGGCAUAAGUUUAUCUUAGUUGCCACUGAUUAUUUCACUAAAUGGGUUGAGGCUGUUCCCUUGAAGAAAGUGACGUCGGCCAAUAUGAUCGAUUUUGUCAAGGAGCAUAUUGUUUACCAAUUUGGUAUUCCCCAAACAAUUACUACCGAUCAGGGUACUAUGUUUACAUCGGGUGAGUUUGAUGAAUUUGCAAUCAGUAUGGAGAUUAAAGUGUUAGUUCUUCUCCUUAUUAUGCUCAAGCUAAUGGACAGGCCGAAGCUUCUAACAAAGGGCUUAUUAAGCUUAUUAAGCGGAAAAUUGAAGAAAAUCCUAGAAGAUGGCAUACAUUGUUGAAUGAAGCUUUAUGGUCAUAUCGGAUGGCGUGUCAUGGUUCAACCAAAGUAUCACCUUAUCAUAUGGGCAUGAUGCGGUAUUGCCAUGGGAAAUUAAAACUGGUUCCAGACGGUUGUUUUCUCAGGACCAGCUAACUGCCGAUGACUAUGCCACUUUGAUGAAAGAUGAGUUGGAUGAUUUGGCAGAGCGUCGGUUAAGGGCUUUGAUAAGCAUAGAAGAAAAUAAAAAGAGGGUUGCUAAAUGGUAUGAUGAAAAAGUGAAAGCCAAGGAGUUUGCUGAUGGGGAUUUGGUGUGGAAAUUGAUUCUACCGAUCGGGACUAAAAGUUCAAAGUUUGAAAAACGGUCUCCUAAUUGGGAAGGUCCUUAUCGGAUAAAUCGAUCUGCUCCUGGCAAUGCUUAUAUUUUAGAAACUCUCGAAGGAGUUGAAUUUCCCAGAGCAUUAAAUGGAAAAUGUUUAAAAAGGUACUACCCAAGUAUCUAGAUCGAUGCAUGAAAGUUUAAAUGCCGAUAACAGUCCUAUCGGCUGGAUAGAAUGUUAAGUGUAUCUGGAGCUAUGCAUAGAGUUUUAAUGCCGAUAACAAUCCUAUCGGCUGGAUCAAAAUGACUGAAGUUCUUAGAAACAGAGCUAAGUAAGUUGCCGAUGAAGAAUUCAUAGAUUUAGUAGAGCCUGUAUGGCUGAUAUGGCGCGCAGACGAAUCUGGUUGGCCUCUUCUAUUUCUCGAGUAUCUUCAUCGGCAGAGCCUGUUGACGGUCCUUAAGUACUAAAAUUAACCAUCAAUUAAACAUGGAAAAGGAUCAAUAUGCACCAAACAUCUAGAAUUAGGGUUUUAUCUGACAGAAUUCCACGAGCUUUGGUGUUUAUCUAUUUCUACAGGGGGUCAUCAGAAAAUAUGGAGAGAAGGCCCACAUGUCAUGUUUACAACGAGAUAAUUAUGUGCCGCACAAUUUUCCUCAAUCUAGAAGAGUCCAGAAGCCACGGGAACGAACGAGAAGACAAUCGGGCUCGGGGGCAGGGCGGCCGCCCACCCCCCUUGGGCGCCCGCCUAUGUCACAGAACCGACCAAAUUAUAAGAGUUCAAGUGCAGAAACGAUCGUCAAGCAAUCAAGUUUCUAGACUUGAGCCCAUAUAAUCCCGGUAGUCAAUCGAAAUCACGAAGGACUUCAAACCAACUCGCAACAAACCAAGAUCGUAAUAGUUCAACAUAAACACAACGAUUGUUACAUAGUCAUUCAUUGCCGUCGAAGCGGCACCACAUCGGAGUAUUAAGUUAUUACAACACAUGUUCGAAGUAGCGGAAGCAAAACAAGUACACACACUUGUCCAAAGUUCAGUUCACAAGUUUGUUACUGCCAGAGUCUAGGUCAUCCUUCCAAAAGCAUCAUGGACGAGAAGAUUAGAGAACCGUGCCCAACGGUUAGUCCUCAUCCCCAGCGGGAUGAAGACAGGUCUUGCAGAAACCGUCAUAGAAGAUAUCAUCUGCAACAGGUGGGAAUAAACCCUGAGUACGAGGAUGUACUCAGCUAGACUUACCCGUCUAGUAACAUAAAAGACACCAAGGGUCAUGCAAGGCUGAGUUUUAAGUGGAGCUGGUUGACUCACCUUUUUGCCAAAAGCUUAACUUACAACUAAAUCAUUUUAAGAGCAUCAAGUUUAUUUAUCAUCAGCCUACCACUAGAUUAGCACCUGUACUACAACACAUCAUUUGAUUAUUACAAACAAUAAUAACCAUAUCAAUUUCAGCAUAUGUUCUUCUUGCUAUCAUCAUUAUCAUGAACCAAGUUCAUUAGUGAAUGCUACGUUUGCCGCUGCUCUGUCAAGUUCUCACUGACCGGGAGAGACGGCGAUUCGAAUCGAAUUCCUAUCCAGCUGGAGGUUUAUUCCUAGCACUCACCCAAGCAUCCCCUGCCGGAGAGCCAAAGGGUCACCUUUGGUACGACUCAGAAAUCGCGGCUCCGAUCAGCGCCGCACUCCCAGGGCUACCACUCUGCCAGGGAGGUCAGGAAUUUUAACUCACCUGCCUUUGGACUUACGCCAAUGGUCCCCCGCACACCGCACUUCCUCCGGUAGUGCGCACUUUAUACUUGCCGGUCUUCCGGCCUGAGUCAUACUACUCGGCUUCGCGGUCGGAACGAGUUAUCCGGCCAACUAAGUGUCAGGCAUGCGUUCAACAUGACAAGAGGACGUACAACGAUCGGUCCUUAGCUGCCACAGACGGAGUUACUACACACUUGCAAAACUCCGCCCGGCUUAAUUCAAAUUAACCAGGUUCCAUCCACGAUAGCACAUAUAGACCAUCGCGACCCGACACAACCCUAUAUCGCGCGGAUGACAGGAUAUCACCCGACUUCUACCGAUUAAAGCAUAACUAAGCUGCUACUCGAACCUAACUCUACAACCAGGGAGGGUAAGUUAUCUGGACAAGGAUAGAGUAGAGUGCAGCAACAGCUUCAUCACAACUCCUAUACGUAAUGCAUCAAUAGAUAUAACGUAUUAAGUAAACUUUCGAAAAUAGAGGAGGCUUAGAAUGCUCCGGGGCUUGCCUUUCACGAACGAUGCCGGCUCGUGAUUCGGGCACUCCACUUCUUCUUCGGGCUCCUCGAGUCCGGCUUGCUGGACCUCCACCUCCUGGCUGCCUUCCUGGCCUUCGGGGUUCGCUUGGAGCUCGAAGGAAACUGCCACGUCCGGUGCACCUAUUGCAUGCUCGAUGAAUGAGAAAGUGCACAUGCUACAGAUGAAUGCUUAAUAACACAAGCACUCACUGGACACUCAUUUACGGAACAAGAGUUAUACUGACUCACAUGAAUAAACAAGUUAACACAACCCAAACCUAUCAUGGCACCAAAGCAGCAAACAACAUAAAACAAGUAUGCUCAGUAAAUAAAUCAUAAUUAUAGAUACACAGGUCCAACAAACAUGAGUAAGGACAUUCUGGAAAGCUUAGGAAAUUGUCUACAACUCAUCUUUAAACAUGACAGCAAGAUUUAAACAUUAAACUAGUCAUUUUAACAAAGUUCCAGGUUCUGUUCCAGAAAAACAGAGAACCCCUAUUUCUGGAACCCAACUUGGAACAGCUGUAACUUUUAAACUACUUGGCCAAAUGACCUCAAAUUUAAACCACAGUUAGUUCAACAAGUUUAGAACAACUUUGUUUUAUACAAGUUUCACAGAAAGUCAAAGUAUCAUUAAGCAAAGUUAAAUUAUUCACUUGCUGUCCAGACAGCAUUUAACCCUAUAGUUAAUUAUUUAAUGACAUGAUCAAAACACAAACUAAGCCAACCAUAAAACUCAUGGGCACAAACAUAUUACAAGGUCACCAGAUCAUCAGUUGAAACCCCAAAACAAUUACUUAACAAGGCAUUUAUUAAUUAAUUUUAGAUAAGGCAUAUUUACAAGAUAUUAGUUCAAGUGCUCAGAAAAAUCUACAAAAAUUACAGAGGCACAAGGAUAACAUCAGAUCACCACCAUAAAAAUUUCAGGACCAAUGCACAUGCCAAAUUAAAGAUAUGCAUUUAACAUAUAUCAAGGCAUUUAUUUCAUAAAUUCAUAAACAUGACUUAUAUAGUGUCAAACAACAGAUUUCAGAUUAUUUAUAUCUUAGGAAUACCAUAAACAAGUUUACCACCAAAAUAGAGCACCAGCAUAAGCACCAAUUAUUUUAUGUGAUUUAAUUAAAGAAACAAGCCAUAUUUCAAACACAAAUUACAUAUCACAACUGCAGUGCUCCAAAAAUCAUGAAAUAAUUAUCAGAGCACUCUACUGCCAUGCAAAGACUACCAUAAAAUUUUCAAAGCAAACUAAGCAGUAUAACCAGAGAUAUGCAUUUAUCCAUGAAUAACAAGAUUAAAUCCUUAAUAAAUAAUUUCUCAGAAAACAUGAUUCAUUUUAUAUUUUUAUUAAAUACUAGCCAUCUCAAGAAACAACACAAAAUUUGUUUCACAAUUUUUGGAUCUCAGAAACAGGAGAUAUGAUUUUUGCAAGGAAGCCAAAAAUCAGGAUUUUGAAUAAAAGAAAGGGAGGGAAAGAGAGAGUCGCUGACAGGGGGUCCCACCCGUCAGGCUCUUCUUCCUCGCGGCCGAGGCGAUCUUCGCCGGCGAUUUCUCCGCGACGGCGAGGUCUCCGGCCAAACCCAGGGCAUCAACGUGAUCCCCACACCCUAACGACUCGAUUGACCCCACUUUUGCCACGGCGGAGCCACCGGAAGGGACUCACCGUCGGCAAUGGCGGCUCGGCGGAGGUGCUCGGCGUUACGCCGGAGCCCUCAGGCCGGUAGAGCGUGACCUAAAGCCCUCUACAGCACCAGCAGACUAGGGCGAAGCUUCCUAGGUACGCGGCUUGGCCUGGAUCCCCGUGGAAAGCGCUGGCCACGGGAGCACCCAACUCCGGCGGAAGCACGGCGGCGCUGCACACCGUGUCCGGCGACGGAGAACCCGGUAGAGCGUCCACCAGGUGGCGCAAAAGCUCGCUAAGGACCUAAGCUACCUCUAGGACCUAACCAAAGACGGUGAGAAGCCUCACAACGCUCGGCAUUGAGUUCGCCGGAGAAGAGGGUCACGGCGGACCGAUUUGGGGAAGAAAGAAAUGUCGGCUCACCGGUGGGUUUCUCGGCGAGUUAGAGGGUGGAGCUUGGAGAGCGGCUCACGGCGGAGCUUUGGGUGGAGUUUGGUGGACGGAAACGCAGAGAGGAGCGCACACGAGCUCGACGGAGUGAGCUCGCGGCGGAGAGCUCGCUGCGGGCGAGGUUCAGGCGAGAGAGGGCGAGGCAGAGCGAAAUGGACGCGUCCACGCGCUCGGGGCGUCGCCGUGGUGGUCAUGCACGCGACGAGGGCUGACAGGCGGGGCCAGGAACGGCGUACGGGCGCCAAAUGGCGACGGAGCGCUGCAGGCGGUCGGCCACGUCGACGAGGUCCAAGUCGAUUCAGACAGUGCAUCGACCGACUGACAGAGCGACUUCACCGGUGAUUAUCUCCCAAACCAGAGCGAAUUAGGAGAUGGCAUAGUUGACAAACUUGGAGUACUAGACGAGAUCUACAACUUUGUCAACUAGAGCAAAGACUAGAUCGGCCUGGAUUGAAAGAUAUAGAGUUUCCAAAAUCGAUCACGGAAACUGCAAACCACCCGGGGACUUAGAAAAUUUCUAAGUGUGGAAAACAGCCCCAAAACUGCCUUGUGGGCCACUUUUGAGCUAUUUGUGAUCAUUUUCAUGAGAUGGCCAUAAAACAAAUUUUGUUCCUUAUAAAAUUUGCUACAACUUUGCUGUAGGAAGUUUUGACAUGCAAACAUUUUAUGAAACACUUUUUAAAAGCCUAAGCAAAAGAGGUUUCUAGGGCCUAUUUGCAUAAGUAAGACUUAAGUGAUUAUUUUGGAGAAGUGAUCAACAUGAACAUUGCUCCCAAGAAUAAGUUAAGCAUAGAUAAGCUAUUUACCAAGGCAUUAAGCACAAACACAAGCAUUGUUCACUCAAACAUAAGCAUAGAAAGCCUAUUUAAGCCAUUUAAAACACAUUUUUGCAAAGGAUGCCAUGUCCCAAGAUAGAUGAUGAUCAUGGAUGCUUUGAAUAAAUGAUGAUGCUCAUGCUAUGCACAUGUUUGAUGCAACCAUAACACUGGGGUGUUACAGCCUAGGGUUAGAGUCCAAUCAGGACUCUCUUUCAGGACUGCGCUCCACCGACCUAAAGGAUGAAUCUAAACCAUACAAUCAAUGUCGGUUUGAUCUGACGGCCCAAAUUCACUUGAAAGGACUAUAUAACCAAGGCCUCUCCACCCCUGAAGGAGAGAGGAGAAGAGAAGAAAUCAUUAUCAGAGGUAGCCAUCAAAGUUAGGGUUUAGAGCUUCUCUCCCAUAGAGAAUUAGAAUUAGCUACUCCCUAAUCCUUCAAGUUUAGAGGUUUGAUUAGAUAGCAAUUAGAGAAGUAGAGCACUAUGCUCUGGAUUCGGAUCUUCAGUAAUAAAGAUUGGUAUUGUUCAUAUCUUUCUCUAAUACUUUGUUCUAAUUGCAUUAUGUCUCUAUUUAUUAUGCUCUUAGUUUGCUCUAGUUCUAUAUUUGUUAUAGUUAUGAUUGAUAAUGAGUUUACUUAUAAGUUUGCAAAGCGCUUAGCUCUUGACGCGAGGGAGUUAAGUGGUAGAUCACAUGUGGGCGUGGUGCUUAGAUGUUAUUUACCUGCAAAUGUAUCCUAUUGGCGGGGUCAUGUGGUAGUUCGCGAUAGUGAUAGCUUCGUUGAUUCUUAUAUAGUCCACCCUCCGUUGAUAGGACAGGCAGAACUUGUAUUGCGGAGUAAGUCUUGCGAUGCUCUGAUUUACUUUAGCAAUGUUCCUUAUACAUGAAUGAAGAGUCUUUUAUGCUAUAUAUGAUCUUGUAGAUAACUAGAGUAGAUUGUGACUUAGUAAAUAGUAGAUAACUUAGAAUCCAUUCUCUAGCUAAUCCGACGUCACCUACAUAUAUGAGGAGUAGUCUAUUUUCUAAUCGCUGUGUUAUUUACCCAUGAACUUUUAAUUCAUUAUCAUUAUCUUUAUGGUUUACCCCCUGCCAAAGUAAGUGACUGUGUGACGAGUUUCUCAUUAGUAAUCAUGUUCUUACAAGUUUAUCUCUAGUCUAUGCCUUGAUAGGUUUAUCCUUAUUUUAAUUUCAUCCCUUUUGUUCUCUUAAGCAAAAUUAUAAAUAACGAUACCUAGAAUACUUAUCCUGGUGAAAUGCUACAAUGAGGUGUUUUAUCUGUGCACUUGCGGAUAGAAUAGAUUAUUUUCUAGAGAGCCUUUACAUUUAUAAAUACCUUUGUACACUCUGGCACCAUGCUGGGGAUGACAACCUAGUAUCUAAGUGGUGUUAGCUAGUGUCAACAAGCAUUUCUGGCGCCGUUGCUGGGGACACAAAAGGGUAACACAUAGGAACGGUAAGGAAAGUCAGGAAAUCUGUCAAGGUUAUUCACAUAAAAUAUUAGACUAGACUAUAGAGAAAUAAUUGCAUAAAACAGCUACUAAGUGAGAAAUCAUAACAAGGCACCUCUGCUUUGGCAGGUUCACCCUGUUGUUUUUCUAUGUUUAUAUUUUUAUACAGGGUAUAUCAGGAUUGACUUUGGGUACAUUCAACUCUUCAUCAUCAGAACCAAAGCAAUCAAGAAAGGAAGAAGAAGCUAGCUACCAACUGCGGAAGCUAUGGCACAAAAGACCUUGCAAGAAUUCUCUGCUCCAAGUCUUGAGAACAUUCCAACUGGUCCAAGAUUUGCAGUAGAAGAAGGAGUACCUGAGUUUGAGCUCAAGUCAAGCCUCAUCAAUUUGGUGCAAGCUACACAAUUCAGUGGAAAGGCACAUGAAGAUGCUAGUGCACACUUGCAGAAUUUCUUAGAAAUUGGAAGCACAAUCCAUAUCAAUGGAGUUGACAAAGACGUCAUACUACUUCGCCUUUUUCCAUUCUCACUAGAAGGGAAAGUGAGGAAGUGGUUCUACACUCAUUAAGAUAACAUCAACAACUGGACGAACUUGUCAGAUGCCUUUCUAUCAAAGUUUUUCCCAAUGGGCAAAACAACUGCCUUAAGAGGAAAUAUUGUCAGUUUCCAACAGCAGAAGACAGAAACCAUUUCAGAAUCAUGGGAGCGUUUUCAAGGAUACAUAUCAGAUUGUCCUCACCAUGGAAUGGCUACAUGGUUACUUAUACAGACCUUCUACCAUGGAUUAACCCAGAAGGCUCAUGAGUGCCUAGAUGCAUCUGCUAAAGUAUCAUUCUUAGAGCUUACAAUUGGAAAAGCAGAGAUACUUUUGGAUAAGAUAGCGGAAAACUAAUGUUGGUUCCAAGAUAAAGCUCAACAAUGUCAUCAAACUGAAGAAAUACCAGAAGAAGUAGAUGCACUAUCAACCAAGAUGGAAAAUUUGCUCUAUUGGAUUGACCAGAGGGCCAAGUUCAAAGAAGAUAAAAGGGCCAUUGAGACAGCAUACAAAUAUCAGCCUACCUCGAGUCAACCCAAUAGCAAAGGUAUGAAUUUAGGUAAUACUUUCAAGCAACUUUCAUUAAAAGAGAUAAUUGCUCAACAAACCAAAAUUAAUGAUGAAGUUAAACAAAGGAUAGAUACAAAUGAAUCAUCUCUAAAAGAUAUACACAAUAAAAUAAAUUUUCUAUUAACUGCCUUUGAUGAGCAAAACACUCUUAAUAAAAGGGUAGAGCUUAAAUUAAUAAAGUUAGCUGCUGCACUGCCUGUUGCUACUAACAUUGAGCAGGUAAAGAACAUAACUACUAGAGGAGGCAAAGCCACCAGGGAUCCCCCAUACCCAAAAGAGAAACAAAGAACAUCAGCACCAGUGCAACCAGCAGUGAUAGAAGAAGAAAGCCCAGUUGAAGUAGAAGAUCUGCUGCAACCACCAAGAACUGGAGAAAUGAGGAAAGAUUUUUACGACACCAACUAUUUGCCAUUUCCUAGAAGAAACAGAGGACUGAAGUCGGAUGAGCAGUUUGGUAAGUUUGUAGAGGUCAUUCAGAAAUAUAUGUCAACAUACCUCUGCUUGAUGCCAUACAUACAUAUGCAAAGUACAUCAGAGAUAUUCUUAACAAGAAGAGACCACUGCCCACCACUGAGGUUAUCAAGCUGACAGAAGAAUGUAGUGCGGCCAUCCUCAACAAGCCGCCGAGGAAGAAGAAUGAUCCAGGAUGCCCCACUACUGAUUGCUUGAUCAGAAACCAACACUUCAACAAUGCACUUUGUGAUCUCGGAGCAAGUGUCAGUGUGAUGCCAGCAUCAGUCUACAAAAAGCUUGAGCAUACGACCCUAGAACCAACAUCAAUGUGCCUACAACUAGCAGAUCAAUCAGUUCGACACCCAUUGGGCAUCGCUGGAAACAUUCCAGUCAAGAUCAGAGAUUUCCUGGUGCCAGUAGACUUCAUGGUACUGGACAUGAGUCCUGACCCAAAAGUAUCCAUCAUCAUUGGAAGGCCAUUUCUGAGCACUACCAAUGCCCACAUUGAUGUCGGGAAGGGAGAACUCAAGUUCAACAUAAACGGAAAAGAAGAACACUUCACAUUCAAGCCCAGACCAGAGAGAGACUCUACAGUGAAGGAAGUUCAUGAAGAAGAACCACUGGAGACACCAUCUCUAGAGGAAGGUAAUUCAGAAGAUUAAAUGAUUUGGAGGUCCAGCUUGGGGGACCUAAAAUUCCCAAACCCUCGCCGGGAGGUAAAUCGGUAUUUAUCCGCAUCAUUAAUUCUUGCAUAAUUAAUUCUUGCAUUAGUCAUAUAUAUUCAUAGCAUUAUUAUAAUAAUAAAAAGCCCCAUAUAAAUAAUAUUUAUGGUGUGUAACAACCCAUAUUUAUUAAUUAUUGUGGAGGCACAAAAAUAUUUUCCAUUAUCAUUUCAAAUAAGUUUUAAUUCUCAUAGAUUUUACUGCAUUAUAUUUAAUUAUAGCAACCUUCUAGAAGCAUGACCCACACUCCUUGGGUCCCACAUNNNNNNNNNNNNNNNNNNNNNNNNNNNNNNNNNNNNNNNNNNNNNNNNNNNNNNNNNNNNNNNNNNNNNNNNNNNNNNNNNNNNNNNNNNNNNNNNNNNNNNNNNNNNNNNNNNNNNNNNNNNNNNNNNNNNNNNNNNNNNNNNNNNNNNNNNNNNNNNNNNNNNNNNNNNNNNNNNNNNNNNNNNNNNNNNNNNNNNNNNNNNNNNNNNNNNNNNNNNNNNNNNNNNNNNNNNNNNNNNNNNNNNNNNNNNNNNNNNNNNNNNNNNNNNNNNNNNNNNNNNNNNNNNNNNNNNNNNNNNNNNNNNNNNNNNNNNNNNNNNNNNNNNNNNNNNNNNNNNNNNNNNNNNNNNNNNNNNNNNNNNNNNNNNNNNNNNNNNNNNNNNNNNNNNNNNNNNNNNNNNNNNNNNNNNNNNNNNNNNNNNNNNNNNNNNNNNNNNNNNNNNNNNNNNNNNNNNNNNNNNNNNNNNNNNNNNNNNNNNNNNNNNNNNNNNNNNNNNNNNNNNNNNNNNNNNNNNNNNNNNNNNNNNNNNNNNNNNNNNNNNNNNNNNNNNNNNNNNNNNNAAAAGAGGGGCAGAAAAGAAAGAGAAAGACGGCAGUGCACCCUAGAGAAAGCGAUGUUUCGAUUUCAUUAAACCAACUUUUGUCUACAGGAUGUUCAAGAAGGUGAAGAACGCAGGGAAGGCUUGUUGACGGUCCUUAAUGCUCAUAUUUAACCAUCAACUAACCAUGGAAAAGGAUCCAAAUGCAACUAACACCUAGACUUAGGGUUUUAUCUGACAGAAUUCCACGAGUUUUGGUGUUUGUCUAUUUCUGCAGGGGGUUAUCAGGAAAUACGGAAGAAAGGCCCACACGUCAGGUUUACAUAGAGAUAUUAACGUGCCGUGCAAUUUUCUACCAUCUAGAAGACUCCAGAAGCCACGGGAAGGAAGCGCAGGCCGAACGGGGCCAGGCACUGGGCGCCCGCCCAGUUGACCUGGGCGCCCGCCCCCUCCUAGAGUCCAAACAGGACUCUCUUUCGGGAUCAAUCUCCACCGACCUAAAGGAUCAAGGAUAACUGUUCAAUCAAUGUCGGUUUGAUCCAACGGCCCAUAUUCACUUGAAGGGACUAUAAAACUAGACCCCCUGGCCCCUGGAGAUCAUACCUCUUCUACAGAAUCAAAGCUAGGGUUUCAAUUCUUCAUCCAAAU